UUGAGCCGGUUGCCUGGAAAUCGGGCACGGCCGGUUCUGAGGGGGGACCGCUGCAGCAAUGCAGCGGUCUUACCCGAC
rfam:Streptomyces sp. NRRL WC-3618 P435contig124.1, whole genome shotgun sequence.